rnacentral:rRNA from 1 species
UGCAGUCGGACGGCAGCACAGAGAAGCUUGCUUCUUGGGUGGCGAGUGGCGAACGGGUGAGUAACAUAUCGGAACGUACCGAGCAGUGGGGGAUAACUAAUCGAAAGAUUAGCUAAUACCGCAUAUAUUCUGAGGAAGAAAGCAGGGGACCAUUUGGCCUUGCGCUGUUUGAGCGGCCGAUAUCUGAUUAGCUAGUUGGUGGGGUAAAGGCCUACCAAGGCGACGAUCAGUAGCGGGUCUGAGAGGAUGAUCCGCCACACUGGGACUGAGACACGGCCCAGACUCCUACGGGAGGCAGCAGUGGGGAAUUUUGGACAAUGGGCGCAAGCCUGAUCCAGCCAUGCCGCGUGUCUGAAGAAGGCCUUCGGGUUGUAAAGGACUUUUGUCAGGGAAGAAAAGGGCGGGGUUAAUACCCCUGUCUGAUGACGGUACCUGAAGAAUAAGCACCGGCUAACUACGUGCCAGCAGCCGCGGUAAUACGUAGGGUGCGAGCGUUAAUCGGAAUUACUGGGCGUAAAGC